GAAAUGCUGGCUCAUUGUGGCAGCAGAUGGAGCUUCCGGCAGGAAGUAGUUGGGCCUUGUGGGGAUAGCUAGCAACUGCAACCCUGAUCCUCGAUCCUCGAGCAGAGCAGGUACUGGAGCUGAAGGAGGGUCUUUGUGUCCCGGGAAGGCAGGAAGGAUGACCAAUGACCCUGGUGUGACCAGAUCUGGGAAGUUCCCCCUGGAUAUGAGACUGUCAGUGCUACAUCCAGGGAUGACAAACCGGCCAUCCUGUCCCUGAGACUGUCCCUUAGCCAAACAGCGCUGAGAACUUACCCAGUUUUUCCUGCCAUAGGACCGUUUGGAUUCCUUGCCUAAAGUGGAGACUGGCAACAGCCAAGCCAAACUGGGACUCUGUCUCUCCUCUUUAUGCUUUGCAAACUGAUUCCACAUGCAUGGACCUCAAACUCAAACCAUCGCCUAUGUUAGCAAUGCUUUUGAGCAUAAGAGAUGGAGCGUGGAUAACAUAAGCAGAGAGCCUGUGUAUUUUCCCAAGACGAGAAGGUCACUUCUAGACUCCGCAACAUGAUGCUAUCAAGAGUUGUCUGCCAAUUUCCUGGUCUCCCCUCAUGGGAGAAGACAGCUGCUAAAGCUCUGGAGAUCUAGUUUCCUCCCAGGCAGAGAGAAGAAGAAAAUGGGAUGCCGCUAGCACGCAGAACUAUUUACAUUUCGUGGGACACUUCCAGCUGCUUGGCCUUCAGACAAACCAAGUGUUUAGUCUUCUGGUCUUUAGAGAAGAGGGUCAAAAGCAUGAGAAAUUUCAGAACAAUUUCACCCCCAGUGUCUGCCAGAGAGUGACCAAAGGAUGCCUGAGUGACUAGGAAUACCAUAAAGCCCAUGAGUCUGGACCACGGCACUGCUGGUUGCUAUGGAUACCAAGGCCCAUCAACACCAUGGGCAUCAGCAGCACAGGGGUGAAGUCAUAAAAGACAGGAAAGUGCCCUGCAGGCUAACCACUCUUCAACACCAUGAGCCCCGAGAAUGAAAGACCAACCUGGGUGUCAUGGACACCACCCUGGCACAUAAUGGCCCAAGAAAGACCCCUGGGCGGGUCUGGGUGAUGAAUGGAGACACCCUCAGCCAAAUCUUUGAAGUCUCAACAUCCUGGGUUGAAUCUGGACCCAUGGACAUAGGUAUUUGGUCAAGAUGAGGACCAAACAUGGCUAUCCAAGGACAUCAUCCCAGUCAGGAAACAUGAAGGAUGGAGGUCCUGUGACAUUUUAUAUAAAGUCUCCAAGGCACACCGUCUCUGAAACAAAGAAAUCAAUGCGAAAGGCCAGUUUGGAUGUGUGCUAUGCAUAGGAACACAGCCCCCACAGGAGAGAACGCUUGUUUGGGGUUUGAAGGGGGGAAGAAGACGGCGCUCAGGAUAGUCGAGGAAGCUGGGGACAAUGACUGUCUGAGGAGCCAGGACCCAGAGCAAGAUCUGAGGACACACGGAACCUUAGUACUUUGUAUGUUGGCUGACUAUGAGGACUUUUAAUACUGAUGUUUGUCACCACGUGAUGGCAAGAUGGCUGCCCUGCACCAGACACCAUGGCUUCACUCAAAGAUCCAGGUGUGUGGAAAGAGGAUGUCUGGGCCUGCAGCCUCCCAUGAGCCAAGCACCAGCAGCAAAGGUCCCUGAGUCCCAAAGCACCGUGGCCUGCCUAGAUGUUACUCAAGAUGCCCUCUUCCCCUGCAGCCCACAGGGAACUGACAAAGGCCUCAGUAUACGGUCUCUUAAUCCAACUCUACUGCUUCUUUUCUCCUGCGGACCUUCAGGCCAGUGGUACCCCGCCUCCUUUAAUUCACUGUAUAAAUGCAUUUGUUGUU